GUCGCAUUAGUAUAGUGGUUAGUAUCCCUGACUGUCACUCAGGAGACCCGAGUUCGAUUCCCAGAUGCGGCG